CAUGUCUCGCUCUCCAUCUCUUCAUUACCACCAAACCAAAAAAAUCUAUUGUGGUUCACGCCGCCAUCACUGAUUCACCAUUUCCCUCACCACCACCAUGACAAGCACCAUCUCAAACAAUAAAAACGAAGUAACCUCACACCUCAGUAAUUCCAGCAGCACCGAAAUUAUGCUUUUUAGAGUUUUUCACUUUUCAGUUCUUCAAUUUUGCUCUGUAUAAAGAUUUUUAGGGAUUGUUAGAAGUUUAAAUGGCGAUUUUUCCACGAAAGAGCUAAAAUCAAAGACCGGCUACAGGAAUAGUCAACAACGUAAAAACAUGCCAUAACCGAAAACAGCCGGUGUUAAGACAUUCAAUAUCGCAAUCAUCAUCUACGUGGAAUUUUGAACUGCAGUUCAUGGGAAUUGAUAGGCACUUAUAUAAGGA